rnacentral:rRNA from 1 species
AGCGAACGCUGGCGGCAGGCCUAACACAUGCAAGUCGAACGAACCCUUCGGGGUUAGUGGCGGACGGGUGAGUAACACGUGGGAACGUACCCUUAGGUUCGGAAUAACUCAGGGAAACUUGAGCUAAUACCGAAUGUGCCCUUCGGGGGAAAGAUUUAUCGCCUUUGGAGCGGCCCGCGUCUGAUUAGCUAGUUGGUGAGGUAAAGGCUCACCAAGGCUACGAUCAGUAGCUGGUCUGAGAGGAUGACCAGCCACACUGGGACUGAGACACGGCCCAGACUCCUACGGGAGGCAGCAGUGGGGAAUCUUGCGCAAUGGGCGAAAGCCUGACGCAGCCAUGCCGCGUGGAUGAUGAAGGUCUUAGGAUUGUAAAAUCCUUUCACCGGUGAAGAUAAUGACUGUAGCCGGAGAAGAAGCCCCGGCUAACUUCGUGCCAGCCGCCGCAGUAAAAC